AAGGAUUCCCCUAGUAACUGCGAGUGAAGCGGGAAGAGCUCAAAUUUUGAAUCUGGCGGCUCUCUGCCGUCCGAGUUGUAAUCUAGAGAAGCGUCUUCCGCGCUGGACCGUGUACAAGUCUCCUGGAAGGGAGCGUCGUAGAGGGUGAGAAUCCCGUCUUUGACACGGACUACCAGUGCUAUGUGAUGCGCUCUCGACGAGUCGAGUUGUUUGGGAAUGCAGCUCAAAACGGGUGGUAAAUUCCAUCUAAAGCUAAAUACAUGCGAGAGACCGAUAGCGAACAAGUACCGUGAGGGAAAGAUGAAAAGAACUUUGGAAAGAGAGUUAAACAGUACGUGAAAUUGCUGAAAGGGAAACGCUUGAUGUCAGUCGCGUCGGCUGGGGAUCAACCUUGCUUCUCGCUGGGUGUACUUCUCAGUCGACGGGUCAGCAUCAGUUUUGGUUGUCGUACAAGGGCGAGGGGAACGUGGCACUCCUCGGAGUGUGUUAUAGCCCUUCGUCGUAUGCGGCGGUCGGGACUGAGGAACUCAGCACGGCUUCGGCUUGUGCUUAGGAUGCUGGCAUAAUGGCCUUAAGCGACCCGUCUUG
rnacentral:rRNA from 1 species